rnacentral:rRNA from 1 species
AAACUGGAGAGUUUGAUCCUGGCUCAGAACGAACGCUGGCGGCGUGCCUAAGACAUGCAAGUCGUGCGAGAAAGUCACCUUCGGGUGGCGAGUAAAGCGGCGCACGGGUGAGUAACGCGUGGGUAAUCUGCCUUCGGGUCCGGGACAACUCCGGGAAACUGGAGCUAAUACCGGAUAAGACCACGGCGUCUUCGGACACUGUGGAAAAAGGUGGCCUCUUCUUGAAAGCUACCGCCCGUAGAUGAGCCCGCGUCCCAUUAGCUUGUUGGUGAGGUAACGGCUCACCAAGGCGACUAUGGGUAGCUGGUCUGAGAGGAUGAUCAGCCACACUGGGACUGAGACACGGCCCAGACUCCUACGGGAGGCAGCAGUG